AGCGAACGCUGGCGGCAGGCCUAACACAUGCAAGUCGAACGAACCUUUCGGGGUUAGUGGCGGACGGGUGAGUAACACGUGGGAACGUGCCUUUAGGUUCGGAAUAACUCAGGGAAACUUGUGCUAAUACCGAAUGUGCCCUUCGGGGGAAAGAUUAAUCGCCUUUAGAGCGGCCCGCGUCUGAUUAGCUAGUUGGUUGAGGUAAUGGCUCACCAAGGCGACGAUCAGUAGCUGGUCUGAGAGGAUGAUCAGCCACAUUGGGACUGAGACACGGCCCAAACUCCUACGGGAGGCAGCAGUGGGGAAUCUUGCGCAAUGGGCGAAAGCCUGACGCAGCCAUGUCGCGUGAAUGAUGAAGGUCUUAGGAUUGUAAAAUUCUUUCACCGGGGACGAUAAUGACGGUACCCGGAGAAGAAGCCCCGGCUAACUUCGUG
rnacentral:rRNA from 1 species